AUUGCCGCCAACGGCGUUGUAAUUUAUUUAAUAAAAUAAAAUUAACUAUUUCGCGUUCACUCGUUCACUUUAUUUAGUUAAACUAAGACAAGUGGAUGUUAUUUAAUAUUUUAACUAAGACAUUGUUGUGUAGAAACAAACGCGAAGAGAAGAAAAAAUAAAUAUAUAAUAAUAUGAUAAUAAAAUGAUGAAAGUACGAACGAGCGCUCCACCGUGUGUGUACAUCGAACGACGACACGGAACUGAAAAUAUCAAUAUACAAUUUAUUUUGGGAGGGUUUAAGUAUUAUAAUCCAGAUAAAUUUCAUAAAACAAACUUUAAGUGUAUUUGAGCAGUAGGUUAGCCCCACCAUCUACCAUGUUAAUACGGGAUCCAACCAGCUGCCAUCAAAGUUCGGAUAUUCACCAUUAUGGCAUUUGGCCACGGGAUAGGGCAAGUGAUCCGAGUCGAGCGUGAGACGCGACAGGCCGCCCGGGCCACGUAAAAACGGGGUUCAUAACAACUGAGACCCGAAUUCGAGGGAUGGUCGCACCUCAAACCCACAAGCUUUCAUCGACGAAUUCGAAGUAAAUUAUGAUCGCCAAAAGGCCUCGUGGCAGCAGAAGCCGCUGCCCCGUGUAACCUUUGAAACAAGUUUGCUGUUCGGGGAGACGUAUUAAAUAUAUUCAUCUUCCCCUCGCCACAAGAGAGUAUUUAAAUACUGUUAUUCACAAUCGGCGGACCCACUCUAGUCGCAAGAAUCAGUGCAAAGCAGCGGCUAGGGAGAUAAAAUGAACAAUAUUAUCUGUUCCGAUUAAUCACAUGCAGUCCUCAGUUCUACCGUUCGCCGUCGUCACUUGUCACCGUCCACCAUGAAGUAACACGGUGUAUUCACGUCACAUGCACACAUGCUAGUUAAAUAUAAUAGAAACAAUAAUUCAUCAAAUAAUUAGAAUGACCAUGGUUAUAUUUUAAUACUUUUUGAAAAUGGGACAUUUUAUUUUCCCGAUGGUUUCGUGGUAGACAACAGGACUGUUUCGUUUAAAACAGAACGUGUCACCUCGGUUAUACAGUAAAAUCACGAUAGCUCAAAUAAAAUAUGGUCACUUUAAAUGCGUUGCAACACAAUUUACAUAAUAUACCUUUUACACAAAUUAAUAUGACCCACUCAAAGUUUGAAUUUUAUCUCAUUCUUUACCAGUGUUCUGUUCGAAAACACAUAAUGUAAA